UAGGGAAUCUUCGGCAAUGGACGGAAGUCUGACCGAGCAACGCCGCGUGAGUGAAGAAGGUUUUCGGAUCGUAAAGCUCUGUUGUAAGAGAAGAACGAGUGUGAGAGUGGAAAGUUCACACUGUGACGGUAUCUUACCAGAAAGGGACGGCUAACUACGUGCCAGCAGCCGCGGUAAUACGUAGGUCCCGAGCGUUGUCCGGAUUUAUUGGGCGUAAAGCGAGCGCAGGCGGUUAGAUAAGUCUGAAGUUAAAGGCUGUGGCUUAACCAUAGUACGCUUUGGAAACUGUUUAACUUGAGUGCAAGAGGGGGGAGUGGAAUUCCAUGUGUAGCGGUGAAAUGCGUAGAUAUAUGGAGGAACACCGGUGGCGAAAGCGGCUCUCUGGCUUGUAACUGACGCUGAGGCUCGAAAGCGUGGGGAGCAGACAGGAUUAGAUACCCUGGUAGUCCACGCUGUAAACGAUGAGUGCUAGGUGUUAGACCCUUUCCGGGGUUUAGUGCCGUAGCUAACGCAUUAAGCACUCCGCCUGGGGAGUACGACCGCAAGGUUG
rnacentral:rRNA from 1 species